AUGAAGACUCCUCGUCGUGAUUCCUCACCUUACUCGUCGGUUGCUUCAGCUUCUGUCUCGAUAGAUGUGACGCUCCAGUCCGCUCUAGGGGUGCACACAAAGCUGCUAGUAUCUGAUCUUGAUUGCAUGACUUCCUCACAGAUGGAGGAUGCAAUUAAGCCGCUUCGCGAGGUCGCUAACUCCUUGCAAGGCUGGAUGGUGCAUAUUGGGAGCUUUCUAGAGCGCGCGGAGGCUACUCUGCAAAGGUUCCCUCUUGCACAGGCUCCCGUGGUUGAUUCUUCUGUUGGCUUUAUGGAUGAGGUGGUUGCGAAGCUCUUUGGUAGCUUCUCGCCCCGUGUUGGGUCUAGUUCGACGCCCCUUGUGUUGCCGGACUCCGUGGGUGAGGCAUCUGUCGAGGUUGUGUCUUCGGUGCUGCAGAUCAUGCCCGAGUUGCAGGUGUUGUGUGGGGAAGAUGUUUCGCCUGCGUCGAUGGAGCAGCUCAAGUUGGGCUCUCUGCAGGCUUCGAAGGUGGACCAUGUGUCCUCACCACCACCCGUGGAGCCUUGUCAGGCUUCGGACGUGGACUUGGUGCCCUCACCACCACCCGUGGAGCCUUGUCAGGGGUCAGACAACCUACCUCUCAGCAUCAUGGAGCACGGAGUUUUUGAUGUUGCUGCCCUUCCCUCGUCUGCGACCACCGGGCAAGUGAUGCCUUUGAGUGGCAUGACCAUUGAGCCACUUGUGUUGGCACCUACUCCAAAUCUAAAUGAUCUUUUCGUGAAGGAAAUAUGA
rnacentral:rRNA from 1 species